CUGGAGGUCCUCCCGGUACCGCGGUGGCCGGGAGUUAGAACGGUCUAGGCCGGCGUAGGUGCGGUUUAGGCGGUAUUUACCUAGGUGGGGCCGGUCUAGACGGGCCUAGGCUGGCCCGGGGCGGUAGCAACGGUGGCCUCGCGGCGGGGCGAGCUGGACGUCGCGGCGACGACGGACAGGGUCGGGUGCAGACGUGCUCCUGCUGCGAGCAGGGCGAGCGAGCGUCGUGAGCGAGGCCCGACGGCGGGGUCGGCCGGGCCGUAGUUCGGUUCUGGGUCGGGUUCGGUGUAGAAGACGGCGCGACAGUGGCUGGUGGGCACCGUGGUGGAACUCUAGUCGGGGCUGCGGUGCUGGCUCGAGGGGGCACGAGCUGCCCGUGGGCGUCAGGAUUUAAACCGACCAAGUUUAAUUCAACCUUCUUUUCCUUCCCCUCUGCGCGUCCUCCUCGAGCGGCCGUCGUCGCGAACGGGGCCCGCACCCCCACUAGUCGGCUACGCCAACACGGCUACCCGCGGCCACCGACCUUCUCCAUGUCUCCUCUUCCCUACGUUCUCCCUCUCUCUACUAUCCUUCCCCUCCCGAUCGCCCGAACACUUCCAGCUGCUGUCGCUUCAACUACGAGCACGGCACCCCCUUCGCCUAGAACCGACCCCUUCCCUCCUUCUCCUCACCGCCAACGUGGGCCACGCCGCCGCUCCCCUUCAUUCGCGCUCCAGCCUCCGCGCCCUCGUACCCUCCAGCGAGGGACCCGCCCAAGCUAGAAACCGAGACGUCGUCAAUUAAACUAUAUCGGGCUUUAAAUUCAUAGUGAUUAACAAUAUAAAUCGAGACGUGCAAACUAGGUCAAAGACGUAUGGACUAGAGGUAAAAAAUAAACUUUUUAGAACUCGACCUUUAGCAAACUACGGUACACAUGACCAUUUGACUUUAUACAUCUCGGUAUAAGCCAUAGCUACAAAUAUCCUCGGAUCGUAACAACCCCGUAUCCUUCAAGAUCGAAGUGAGUCACUGCUAGGAAAGGUCGAAGCCCAAGGGCGAAGUUACAACACUUCGUGAGACUUUUUGAAACUCAAGAAAGAGCCUGUUCAGCGAGACAAAGACGGAGGACUUACGUAUUUAAAGGAAUCAGCAAUCUAUAACGGUGAGAUCUAUUAAACCUACCUUAUACUUAAAGUACCACACUAUAGGAUAGUAUAACGACUUCGACUAGCCAUAGUUUGACAGACUAGUAGCAUGGACUUUCUGUCACACUAAUUCGAAGGAGAGUGACUUGGAUGAUUUAAACGACAACCAAACAAACCGCGAUUCAUAAGACUUAGUUCCAACCGUUGAAACAAACUAUCAAAAGAAAUACAGUUAACUCAGCGACGAAGACGAAAUAGACAUUUUUUUACGUAUGGUUGAUCUUGUGAUGAGUGUAUCGAUGUAACGGGUCCGAUAAACCCGGAUUUAAUUGGCGUAGUAAAGGACAAGUACUACAGUGUCACGGGUUUAAUCAUAUAAGGGUGUCCAUUGAUAAGGAAACCGCUGAGGGUCACAUGGAGGAAAGGAAAGGUCGUAUCCGGUCUUGUACCCGUUGGUUUUGUUAUAGGUCAUAAAACGGUUCGGUUAAAAAAACAUAGAAAACCCAACGCGAGUUUGGUUUGUGUGGAUCCUACGUUGACACGUCUAGUUCUAAGAAAUGGAUAAUAAUCGAUUUAAUCCUCAUAACACAUAUUCGUUUUCCAAUACCCUCAAAGAACCAUAUUGAGGAACAGUGUUACCACACCAACGUUUCGAUUAAGUCAUAGUACAUUAGAUGAAUCGUCCGUUGGUAAAAAUACCUUUGAAUCGUCCGUUGAAAUGAAUCUAACAUGUUGGUUAUAAGUAAAGUAAAAGGAAUUAUUCUAGUAAUGAAAAAGUACGUGACGGAGAGGGGGUAUACGGUCGUCGUUCUUAAACAAAAUACGUAACAAAUCGUAAACGUAAUUAUAACAUAAGGGGUCACGAAAAACAUAGGGCUAAAAAUUGUAGCUGACGACUAUUUAGUUUUGACCACAUAUCUAACAACCAAACAGUGAUACACGUGUCCCAAUACUAACCCAUUAACUUUACAAUAAGUGUAACAGUUAACUGAUUAUACACGAUGAACAAUGGAACGAUGUCUCUUUGGUCGCUGUUACCACUAGGGAGGUGGUCUGUCCCGUCGAUCUUAGCAGUCAAAAGAGUUCGGGUUGGAAAACUCCUACCUAAAGAGCUUGUUCAAACACUGGCGGGUCCACUAGGUGUGGGGUUGUUGUUGACAGGGCACAAGACGCUCGAGUGUCCUCUUCGACGACUCUAGCGUGUACAUCAGCUGGCCGCUGCAGAGACGGCGGCGUUUCUAACCUUUCAACAACCCGCUCGUGGACGACGAGUUCAUCUAUGGACGGCACAGGUAGGUGUACUUCUCUCUCGUCUUCAUGGUACCCUUUCAGUGCCGACAAUAUCUAAGACAGCCUCUUCGACCACAGUUCAACAACACUACCACUUUUGUAUCUCGAGCCGAAUCGUAAACGCGUCAGAAGCGACAUAAAGACUACAAACCUGACUAAGUGUUGGUGAAAACACAAAUACUUAAGCCGCGAUUUGUUUGCGACAGGCCCUGGGUGCAAUUAUUUUCUUGACACAACAUCCCUGAGUCGGACUAUUAUACAACAUCGUGAACUUAGUUAUCG
rnacentral:rRNA from 1 species